ACGCUCGACACCUACGGGAGGCAGCAGUUGGGAAUAUUGGACAAUGGAGGAAACUCUGAUCUAGUGACGCCGCGUGAAGGAAGAAGGUCUUCGGAUUGUAAACUUAUUUUGUCAGGGAAGAAAAAUGACUGUACCUGAAGAAAAAGCACCGGCUAACUACGUGCUAGCAGCCGCGGUAAUCUGAGCGGGCUGGCAAGGC
rnacentral:rRNA from 1 species